UACCAGCACUGCAGCAAACACUGGAAUUGUAUCCUGACCCAAAUCACUUGUUAAAUAAGCCAUGGUCAAGCCUGGUGUUUCUACAAAGGCCUCUUUUCCAGAGGAGAAGAUAUCACUUCAGAAGUAGCAGAGAAGGAAUCACACCCCGGGGUCCCGGGGCCACUCAGUUCAAAACGUGCAGAGCCGGAGUCAGGGACAGAACUGCUGGAGUGGGGAGAAUUGCAUCACUGCAGCCUGGCAGCCUCAUCCAACAUCAGUCCUGGAGGCUCACCUGCAAACAGCACUGAGCCCCAGCAGCCUGUGCAGCCCCUGGAGCAGAGGCAGUGACUCUCAGGUGCUCGGUGUGGAACGGCUCCCAAGGGAUUUGCUGGAUCCGGCUUCACUUCUGUGUGUCUUCUGCUGAAACGUGGAUUGGAGCCAUCAUGACAGCACAGCCCUUUCCAGAUGUGACAGCACAUGGCUGCAGGCACACUUUUUAACAGGCUGCAGGGCUGGGAAGACAUUUUAUGAUCUAGCCCUGGAAGUGCUGAUGGAAACACUAAUGAAUACACAGAAUCCUGUUAUUGUCCAGGGCUUAGUCACACAAGGAUCCACACAACGGUCCAGCUCCAGACCAAAAAACUAAUAAAGGCCCACCUGGCAGGAACAUGAAGAGGAA